rnacentral:rRNA from 1 species
UGGCCUAAUACAUGCGAAGUCGAGCGAAUCGAUGGGAGCUUGCUCCCUGGAUAUUAGCGGCGGACGGGUGAUAACACGUGGGCAACCUGCCUAUAAGACUGGGCAUAACUUCGGGAAACCGGAGCUAAUACCGGAUACGUUCUUUUCUCGCAUGAGAGAAGAUGGAAAGACGGUUUACGCUGUCGCUUAUAGAUGGGCCCGCGGACGCAUUAGCUAGUUGGUGAGGUAAUGGCUCACCAAGGCGACGAUGCGUAGCCGACCUGAGAGGGUGAUCGGCCACACUGGGACUGAGACACGGCCCAGACUCCUACGGGAGGCAGCAGUAGGGAAUCUUCCGCAAUGGAGGAAAGUCUGACGGNAGCAACGCCGCGUGAACGAAGAAGGCCUUCGGGUCGUAUAGUUCUGUUGUUAGGGAAGAACAAGUACCAGAGUAACUGCUGGUACCUUGACGGUACCUAACC